rnacentral:rRNA from 1 species
UACGUAGGGAGCAAGCGUUGUCCGGAAUCAUUGGGCGUAAAGCGCGUGUAGGCGGCCAGGUAGGUCGGAUGUGAAAUCUGGAGGCUCAACCUCCAGCUGUCAUCCGAAACCAUCUGGCUAGAGUCCGGAAGAGGAGAGUGGAAUUCCUGGUGUAGCGGUGAAAUGCGCAGAUAUCAGGAAGAACACCUAUGGCGAAGGCAGCUCUCUGGGACGGUACUGACGCUGAGACGCGAAAGCGUGGGGAGCGAACAGG